AUGUGGCUGAGGGGGAGAGUAAUAAGACGUGUGGCUGGAGAGGAAGGCCGGAGCCGUAUCAUGCAGAGCCUCGCGCACUGUGCCCAAGUUCCAGGAGCUUGCCUGAUCCACUCAAUUCCCUCCCUCAUUGGAGGCAUCUCUGAAGCUCAGAAGGAAACUGCUCUUCACCUGGUCUUCGGUGAGGGUCAUUCACCUCCAGGCUUCAUGGAAAUCACCUCACAGGACCCCAGGCACUCGGAGCAAGUCCCCACGACUGUCCACAACCUGUACCUGUUUGACCGGAAUGGAGUGUGUCUGCAUUAUUGCGAGUGGCACCGCAAGAAGCAAGCAGAGAUCCCCAAGUAGGAGGAGUACAAGCUGAUGUACGGGAUGCUCUUCUCUAUCCUUUCCUUUGUCAGCAAAAUGUCCCCACUACACAUUAAGGACGGCUUCCUGGCCUUCCAAACUAGGCGUUACAAACUCCAUUAGUACGAGAUGCCUGCUGGGAUCAGCGCUGUCAUGAAUACUGACUUGGGCGUGGGACCCAUCUGAGAUGUGCUGCACCACAUCCACGGUGAGCUGUACGUGGAGCUGGUGGUGAAGAAUCCCCUGUGCUCGCUGGGCCAAACUGUGCAGAAUGAGCUCUUCCGCUCCCGACUGGACUCCUGUGGCCACUCUCCGCCCUUCUUCUCCGCCCGGGCUGGCUGA